CCUCCCUUCACUGCCUGAGACUCUUUUCAGGAAGGACAUGAGCCAAUGCAGUCCAUGAGAGCUGGCUACGGAAGGGGACAUCCUUGCUCCUUCUUACCCCUGCUUAUCCUCAGCUGUAAUCUGGUGACUAAAUGGCUUCUCCUUCCAUCAGCAAGGGGACAGUGAAACCAGGCACUGUGUUGGUCACUCUGGAUAAAACCCUUAACUGAUGACUCCAUUGUUACUAUUUUAGACCUCAAGGAUCCAAUGAUCUGGGAACACAGUUCAUCUGAGGAUAGGCAUUACAAGGUAAACACAGUGUUGAUAAAAGUUCUGUGUCCCUGAUGGUGUCAAGAAGAAAUGUGCCAUCAUUUUCAGGUAAAAACAACAACAAAUAAACAAACAAAACUAAAACAACCAGGAAAUCUGCAUCUGCUUCCUGAAAUAUGUCCACAAAAAUCAAAUAGGUAUAGAUAUACUUUUGCCUUAAACAGAUAAAUGAAAUUUUUGAGUAUCAAAAAAUUAUUUUCAACAUCCACAAAAUACUGAAACAGUACUCUUUAAAACAGUCAAGGUAAUGACAAACAAGGAAAGACAGAGAAAAUGUCACAGACCAGAGAAGACACGGCAUGAUGACUGAAUGUAAGGGAGUGUCCUGAAUUGGAUCCUAGAACAGAUAAAGAUUAUUAGUAAAAAGCAGUUGAAAUUUGCACAAGGACUGGAGUUUAGUUAAUAGUAAUGUAUAAAUGUUAACCUCAUAAUUUUGAUGACUGUAAUGUGGUUAUGUACAAUGUUAGCACUGAGGAAACUAGGUUAGGGGUAUUCAAGAACUCUCUGUACUAUCUUUGCAACUUUUCCAGAAAUCUAAAGUGAUUCCAAAAUAAAAAGUGUAUUUAGAAAAGUAUUUUCAGAUCUUUGAGAGGCAGGAGAGCGGGAACAACAUGCACCUUAAUGUCAGAAGGUUGAGUUUGUGUUUCCCUUUCACCACCAUCCAACAAGAUGACUUAAUGCAAGUUGGUUGAGCCUCAGGAUUCACAUUCAUAAAAGGGGGGGAUACAAUUUCUACCUUAUACAGUGUUAUUGAAAAGAACAAAUAAAAAAUUCAUGAACCCAUACAAAAAGUAACCAUAGGCACAACUAUUUUUCCAAACCCUGAUUUACAGCUUCAAUCUAACCUUAAAACUAUUUACUCAAUUGACACAUACAUUUUUCUUAUUUUACUUUUCGAAAAAGAUCAAUAAAUGAUCUGUGAUGCCUUCAAUAGAGAAAAAUUAAGAGUUGGAUAUCAGUCUCAGAGGGUUUACAUUUUCAAGAUGUUUUUCUUUCAAAAGUAACAUUGAGCUUGUUGAACUUGACAAAUUAGUGUUUUUUCGGAAAAUCUCCUGCACUGAUCUGGGGUGUCCCUGGGUGUGUAUGAAGACUUGGGCAAGAAAGAGCUCAAGAAAAAUUCAUGGAUUUGGUGUAUUACUUUAGGGUUGCGUGAUUCUGACUAACUUUAAGCCAAAACUAGGUAGAGGCAAAACGUUGCUGUGGAAGUUGUGAGAAAGUCCUUGGCAGAAAGAGCAGGCAGUGAGAGGAACAGGGGUGAAAUUAUCCUUUCAUUUUCUGGAAGGUACUGCCAGUGAAGUGGUUAAGAGUAUAGGCUUUUGAUCCAGACCUUCUGGAUUUGAAGCCAAACUCUGACUCUUCCUUUUUAGAGCUUGGGCAGGUGACUUAAGCUCUGUGUCUUGUUUAAAGAUAAUUAAUAAGGACAUGAUCCUAUCUGUAUUUUGGAAAACUCCUCUGGAAGCAGUGUGGAUGAUCGAUUAGAGCAACAUCAGACCCAACAAGGGCCGUGGUAGAGAAGCCAGCACAAUAGUAGAGAGGUGAUGAGGGCCUAAGCUGCACAGGGAGCCCUGAGCAUGGGGAGAAGGAGUCUAGAAAACCAUGAAGGAGAUGGGUAUCAGCAGAAAGUGGGGGAAUCAGGGAAAGAAAGGACUCUAGAUGGAUUCUUAGGCUCCUGGAGACUGGGAUUUUGUCCAUUAACCAAGAUAGAGAAUCAUGGAAGAGUAGGGAAAAGUCAUGCUUGUGAUUUGGGACAUACUACAUGUUUGUGUUUGGGGACAUUAAGAAGGAAAUGCCUAUCUGGGACAGGAACUUGUGUUUUAUCUCAUAUACCACUCUGAGUAAAUGGGAGCUUAAAGAGAGUUAAGUACAAGAUAGGGGUUAAGAAUGCUGUUUCUUUGACUUACUAGCUGUGUGUUUAAAAGGGUCAAUUGUUUAACUUUUCUGCUGCUUUUUCUUUUGUUUUGUUUUGUUUGUUUGUUUGUUUUAAGACAGAGUUUUGCUCUUGUUGCCCAGGCUGGAGUGUAAUGGCACGAUCUCAGCUCACUGCAACCUCCACCUCCCAAGUUCAAGCAAUUCUCCUGCCUCAGCCUCCAUAGGCAUCCACCACCACGCCCGGCCAAUUUUGUAUUUCUAGUAGAGGCGGGGUUUCUCCAUGUUGUUCAAGC
rnacentral:lncRNA from 1 species